rnacentral:rRNA from 1 species
UACGGAGGGUGCAAGCGUUAUCCGGAUUCACUGGGUUUAAGGGGAGCGCAGGCGGAUUUGUAAGUCAGUGGUGAAAGGCUUAAGCUUAACUUGGGAACUGCCAUUGAUACUAUAAGUCUUGAAUGUUGUUGAGGUUUGCGGAAUGGGUCAUGUAGCGGUGAAAUGCAUAGAUAUGACCCGGAACACCUAUUGCGAAGGCAGCAGGCUAAACAAAUAUUGACGCUGAGGCUCGAAAGCGUGGGGAUCAAACAGG